CCUACGGAGGCAGCAGUGAGGAAUAUUGGUCAAUGGACGGAAGUCUGAACCAGCCAUGCCGCGUGCAGGAAGACGGCUCUAUGAGUUGUAAACUGCUCUCGUACAAGGGUAAACUAGAAUCCGUGUAUUCCGCUGACGGUACUGCACGAAUAAGGAUCGGCUAACUCCGUGUCAUCAGCAGCGGUAAUACGGAGGAUCCAAGCGUUAUCCGGAUUUAUUGGGUUUAAAGGGUGCGUAGGCGGAUUGAUAAGUUAGAGGUGAAAUGUCCGAGCUUACCUCGGGAACUGCCUCUAAUACUGUUGAUCUAGAGAGUAGAUGCGGUAGGCGGAAUGUAUGGUGUAGCGGUGAAAUGCUUAGAGAUCAUACAGAACACCGAUUGCGAAGGCAGCUUACCAAACUAUAUCUGACGUUGAGGCACGAAAGCGUGGGGAGCAAACAGGAUUAGAUACCCGUGUAGUC
rnacentral:rRNA from 1 species